GACGAACGCUGGCGGCGUGCCUAAUACAUGCAAUUAGAACGCUGAAGGAGGAGCUUGCUUCUCUGGAUGAGUUGCGAACGGGUGAGUAACGCGUAGGUAACCUGCCUGGUAGCGGGGGAUAACUAUUGGAAACGAUAGCUAAUACCGCAUAAUAGCAGUUGUUGCAUGACAACUGUUUGAAAGGUGCAAUUGCACCACUACCAGAUGGACCUGCGUUGUAUUAGCUAGUUGGUGGGGUAACGGCUCACCAAGGCGACGAUACAUAGCCGACCUGAGAGGGUGAUCGGCCACACUGGGACUGAGACACGGCCCAGACUCCUACGGGAGGCAGCAGUAGGGAAUCUUCGGCAAUGGACGUAAGUCUGACCGAGCAACGCCGCGUGAGUGAAGAAGGUUUUCGGAUCGUAAAGCUCUGUUGUAAGAGAAGAACGAGUGUGAGAGUGGAAAGUUCACACUGUGACGGUAUCUUACCAGAAAGGGACGGCUAACUACGUG
rnacentral:rRNA from 1 species